UACGUAGGGUGCGAGCGUUGUUCGGAUUUAUUGGGCGUAAAGAGCUCGUAGGCGGCUUGUCGCGUCGGAUGUGAAAGCCCGGGGCUUUAACUCCGGGUCUGCAUUCGAUACGGGCAGGCUAGAGUGUGGUAGGGGAGAUCGGAAUUCCUGGUGUAGCGGUGAAAUGCGCAGAUAUCAGGAGGAACACCGGUGGCGAAGGCGGAUCUCUGGGCCAUUACUGACGCUGAGGAGCGAAAGCGUGGGGGAGCAAACAGG
rnacentral:rRNA from 1 species